CAGUCGCCGCGGGAAUACGAAGGGUGCAAGCGUUAAUCGGAAUUACUGGGCGUAAAGCGCACGCAGGCGGUUUGUUAAGUCAGAUGUGAAAUCCCCGAGCUUAACUUGGGAACUGCAUUUGAAACUGGCAAGCUAGAGUCUUGUAGAGGGGGGUAGAAUUCCAGGUGUAGCGGUGAAAUGCGUAGAGAUCUGGAGGAAUACCGGUGGCGAAGGCGGCCCCCUGGACAAAGACUGACGCUCAGGUGCGAAAGCGUGGGGAGCAAACAGGAUUAGAUACCCCUGUAGUCCCUGUCUCUUAUAC
rnacentral:rRNA from 1 species